rnacentral:snRNA from 1 species
AUCAAGUCAAUAACCCGAGAAAA